UGGGGAAUUUUGGACAAUGGGCGAAAGCCUGAUCCAGCAAUGCCGCGUGUGUGAAGAAGGCCUUCGGGUUGUAAAGCACUUUUGUCCGGAAAGAAAUCCUUGGCUCUAAUACAGUCGGGGGAUGACGGUACCGGAAGAAUAAGCACCGGCUAACUACGUGCCAGCAGCCGCGGUAAUACGUAGGGUGCAAGCGUUAAUCGGAAUUACUGGGCGUAAAGCGUGCGCAGGCGGUUUGCUAAGACCGAUGUGAAAUCCCCGGGCUCAACUGGGAACUGCAUUGGUGACUGGCAGGCUAGAGUAUGGCAGAGGGGGGUAGAAUUCCACGUGUAGCAGUGAAAUGCGUAGAGAUGUGGAGGAAUACCGAUGGCGAAGGCAGCCCCUGGGCCAAUACUGACGCUCAUGCACGAAAGCGUGGGGAGCAAACAGGAUUAGAUACCCUGGUAGUCCACGCCCUAAACGAUGUCAACUAGUUGUUGGGG
rnacentral:rRNA from 1 species